UAUUAUAGGGUAAAAAUUCAGUGGAACAAUCCACUGAAUUACAGACCAGCCAAUCUUCUUUUAACCUGACAUUUCAGUGAAUAAAUCAUGAUUCAGUUAAUCAUGGAUAAGUGCGGUAUAGAAACAGCCAUUAUAUCAAGCAUAGCCUCUUCCAUUGUUGUAUUUUAAUAGAUUAGUAUGGUUUGCUUAAUUGUGGUUUAUUGAAUAAAUCACCAUUAUCUGAGCUUACAUAAAGACAUUGAACCAUUAAUUACAGUGGCUGAGAUACAUACAUUAACCCAAAGCAAUGUUAUAAUUAGCACAUUGUGUGAACCUAGGAAAAAGUGAUAUUGGGAAAAGUAUAAGAAAUCGGACUACAGUUGAUUGCUUCCUAUACAAGUAGUCGAGAGAGAGAGAGAGAGAGAGAGAGAGAGAGAGAGAGAGAGAGAGAGAGAGAGAGAGAGGUUUGUAUGAGAUUUCCGUAUCUUUCAUGGCAUUAUCUAGAAACACUUAGCAAAUCCUGCUUUGAAAAAAGUUAAUGCACAAUGUGUUCUUGAUAAGACAGUCUAAGGAUUACAGAAUAAAAUACAAAAGUCCACAGUUACAAUAUUUGAAGAUCUUUUCUCACAUAAACUAUGAAUUAGGUUAAAAAACCAGGACCUUGGGUCUGUAAUUGUGUUGAUUCUUUAGAAUGAUCAACUCAUAAUACAGCUGAAUUUUGAAUUUUCUAGGAUGUUAUUAGGGUGCAAUUCCAUUUUAUAGCUUCUAUUCAGGCCAACUUUUUGAUUGUGACAUCUUGUGCCUAAACCUUAACUUCGCAUGAGAUAAGCAAUGCACACAUUGGUUCAAAGGCAUCAUUGCUUGUUAAAAUUUCCCUUUUAAUAACAGCUAAUCAAUGUGCAUUUACAAUUGACAAUAUGACAGAAAAGAAAGCAGGUUAUUACACAGUUAUUAUUAGGAAAAACAGCAAUUAACCUGAAUGAAAAAAAAAAAAGUUCUUGGCUGCCAUCUCAGAUUAGCUUUGAUUCAGACAAACUCCUCCAGCAUAGAAAUUCAUGAGUGCACCUUUGCAUAAAUACUUUAUGUUCCAUAUUGUAUAUUUUUCUAUAUUAUACAAUAUUGAAAUAUUAAUAUAUUUCUACCUCCAUCACAGUUACAUAAACCAAGACUGACAUGAAUUUGUGAUAAGUUGUCACUACCCUUUAUUGCUCGGAAAUAUGUCCUGUGUAGAGUUGAUUUGAAAAAGAAUUUCAUUUUGAGCUUCUGUCUUACAUUUAGCACAACAAAUUCUAACUGUGUAACAAAUUUCUAAUCUUGCAUUAAAUUUGGAAGCAGACCUAAUUCUCCAAAAGAUCUGUUGAGAAAUACAAUAUAUGCCAGUAGUAUGAAUGGUCCCUAAGAAUCUUAGGAAUGUCCUCAGGGAAUGCUAAAAGUUAUCAAAUGCAAUAUUUAAUGUAAUGUAAGAUUACAUACGUACAUAAAAUAAUGAGAAAUAAUUCCAAUGUUAUUUAAUUUGAAUUAAAUGCAAAAGAAACAAAAUCAGUUUUAGGUGUUCUCCUGGGUUCAGUCCCACUGCUUUACGAAAUGUAGUCUCCAGCAUGCUCUUAAAGCUGUGUUUUUCAACAUUAAUAACUUUAAGACGUGGAUUUCAACUCCCAGAAUUCCCCAGCAUAAGAAACACUGCCUUGAAGCCAAUGGUGCCUAUAUCUAAAAAAAUAAAAAGGGGACAGUCCUUUUCUAACUAAACCAGAGGUGGGUUGAGCAAGAAUGAAAAUGACAAACUGAUGGUUCAGAGCAGCUGAUGAAAUGAACCAGCAGAUAAAACCUCCCGCCACUCUGCAAUUGCACUAACUUCCGCUGGAAGGAAAAAAAAAAAAGGGAACCAUCUCUUUAAAGUGGAUGAAUCUUGCACCGUAGGGUACCCUAAAUGCUCUGUCUUUUUAUUGACUGGUAAGUUUUCUUAAGAAUUUAGCCAGAGUUAAACUUCAAGUUAUGCUGCAUCUCUGACUUGGCUAAGAAAAAUUUGACUUGGCUUUAAAAAAAAUUUGAAGUUAGAUUUUAUUUUAAUGGUGGAAACUGGGUCUGAGUUCAUACAUAACAUUAAGCCAUAAUAUGCCUUGUCUGGUUUUGGUUUAGCAUGUGACAUAAAGUCAGUUACAGUAUAUUUGAUUUCCUGGUUUAUGACUGUACUAUGAGUAAACCCAACUAAGUGCUUGACUUAUUUUAGAAUCUGUAGUUAAACAAACUAUGGCUUAACAUCUGUGAAUCCAGUCUCUGAAAGUGAGUUGCUUCCAAAAACAAGCCAAGUGCAGCAUAUCAAAUUGCACUGUCUUUUCCUUAUUGUGCCUCCUUUCACAUACUGAAUCUCAUCAGUAUGGAUAAAAGCAUACAAUGCCUAUGAGAGACAACGUAUCUAGCUCCUAAGAUUUUCCUAAAGAGGCACCAGGACGAGAUUUUGGAUUACAGUUAAUCCAAAAUCCCCAGCAGCCAGUGUAGGAAGAGGUGUAUUUGCUUUGGGCAUCUAAUACACUCAUCUAGAAUAUAUUUGUAAAUGUGGACUCUAUACUGGGCAGACAGUUGCUCAUUAGGCUGCAACUGAUAAUAGCAUUUUUAAGAGAGAGAGAUGAAGGUGGGCUACAGAAACUGAAAUGAGCUGGCAGUAUGUUGCAUGGAUUGGGGCCCAACAUGGAUUCUUGAGAAUUUCUCUGUUUUCAAAAGCUAUGUUAAUUAUGUUUCAUAGUUUACAGUGUUUAUGAUUUUUCCCUAAAAACGGUAGGAGAGAGUAUUUUUCCUCUUGCAGUUCUCCUUGAUCCUUCAAUUAGAAAAGAUGGGUACUCAACACAGGACUUUCUGGAAAUUAAACAUAUGUUAUGGCCUCCUCCGCACCUGGUGGCUGGACAUUUUAAAUACUGUAUAUUUUAUCAUAAGCCACAAAAAUAUAUGUGGGUAGGAAAUAAUAUCCACAGGCUAUAGAUAUUGUUGAUCUAUUGUCUGAGCUUGGAAUUUAGUAACAGCCAAAUUAGAACCCAGAAGUUAGAAAUCAGAGAUCAGAAAUUAUGAAAGUAGUUGGUUAAGAAAAUAGAUCACCCAUAUGAAAGAUGUUUUCUUCCUUCCAGGUGCAGGAAAUCUACUGACAGCUUUAGGUAGCCAAUCACUUCAGAAUCCAGGAAUGUUUACUAGGUCAGGAAAUUUCUGCAACUUUCUAGACUGGAUGCUGAUGUAUGUGAAUCUAUGUUCCUUGUUCUAAUUCCUAUAGUCUUUGAGUGAGUUUCAUUUUAAAAUAUGUCUCAGUUAGCAAGCAGAUGCACUGAUACUCUACACCUACUUUGAUCGGUUACCCAUGCUUGGAUUUAUACAAUACCCUAGACCAGUAUUUUUAUGACUCAACAACUUCAAGUUAUGUGGAUUUCAACUCCCAGAAUUCCAUAGCAAGCAUGGUAGCUGCUAAAUUUUGGAAUUUGAAGUGCACAUUUCUUGACAUUGCUGGGGUUGAGAAAUGCUUCCCUAAAUUACCCUGGGAUCCUUCAGUUUUAAGUUCUGAAUUAUCUCAAUUCAGCCAGCUGAUAAAAUUAAUUUGCAGUUCAGUGUGUUAUAUAAACUAUGAUUCAAUUAACUAAAGUUUAGUUGUACAAAAGUUUGUGAGUGAAAUGUUAACCAAUUAAAUAUUAAUACUGUGCCAUGUCUGUCUCAUAUGUCAAAAUAAUAAGGGUACUAAGGAUGUAAACGUUAAAGAUAAAUACCCUCCCCAUCCAAUGAAGCUGUCAAUCAUGUACAAGUAGAGAAUGCCUGGGAAUGGCAGAACAUUCUGGGAACAAGAAGAGGCCCCAGUGAAAACCCACAAAAAUAUUCUAUCUCAGAAGAAGAAUUAUUUAAUUCUAAAGUCAUGGGAUUGAUGAAAGCACAGAAGUUUUAUAUUCCACAAUCUGAUAUGCAGGUAAAGUGAAGCAUUAGUUAGUUAGUUAGUUACUCUGUUUUGGUGGGACUAAGGUGCGAGAGUUCAAUAGUGAAUGAGCAAACCUUAAUAAAAAUUCAAAAGGCAAUUCUUUUGUGGCACCUGCCCAUUUUUUUCCAUUUUAUCUUAUUAUAGGUGGCUUUAGAGGGGAUGGAGAUGAAGGAGUUGAAAUCUACAUAUCUCAGCCUUGCUAAGGUUGAGAAAAACUGCACUAAGGAGUUUUCAUAUAGUUGCUCCAUGAAUAUGAGGCAUGAUUUCAUAUUUGUUUAUUUGCAGGGCAUUUGCUGACCUCACAGAUCUUGAUAAUACAGGAAGAGGAAGACAGCUUUGAUGAAGGCAACUUCAACCUUGUUCCUGGAGGAAAUUAAUAGUGAGGAGAAAAAACAUUUUGAGUCUUUCAUUAACCAGCUGGGAACUGAUAAUGUCUUUGAAGACAAGUCAGAAAUAUGGAAGAUCUGGGUGCAGCUCUGGGAGGCAGAACCACAUCUGUUGGGAAAUCUGAAGGAGUUCUUGGCUAAAAUGACACACUUCAUCAAGGAAGCUGAGCAUGAAAAAGAGAAGAUACGGUUACUGCUGAAAAUACAAAUAUCUGAUCACAAUAAGAAGGUGCAGACGCUAUAUGAGGAAAUGGAGCAGCAAAUUGAGAGGGAGAAACAAAAACUGCAGAAUGAGAGUAAAACCAGGAGCCAGCUGCAUUACAUGGCGAUGCAGGAAGAAUUGGAUGUUAGAGAACAGGAAAUUCAGCAUUCCCUUAUUGUUCAAAAAGAGCUUGAAACUCAGUUGCUCAGGCUCAAAGAGAAACAACUGGUGGCCAGCACCCAAGCCCAGCAGCUGCAACAAAUCAAGAGCAGCCUUGAAAAUCAGCUCCAGCAAACCGUCCAUCAGCUUCAAAAGAUUGAAACAUGCCUGGAUGUCAUGAAGGAUAGAAUAUCCCAAUUGUACAGUGAAGGCAGGUUUUAUAUCUCUACUGAAACAAUUUGCAAAGGUGCGUGGAAGAAAUGGAAAACCCUGUGCUAUGUUCCUUCCUCUCUUUGCAGAGACAGACAAAGGGAGGGAGACACCAACAAGGUUCCUCACUCCAUACAGGAUCCUGUGAAUUUCAAUGAGAUGAUCUGCUCUCAGCAGGAGGUGAAAAUGGAAUAUAUUCUGAAUGAGGACAAAAUGGAUAGCUCUAUACAACAGACAUCUGAUGAUGUGACAUCAAUGACUGAACCUGAUGUAGAAGCCAGUAGAAGAGUGAUUUCCACUGAAGAAGACCCUUUGAUAGAACCUUUUAUAGAUGAAGGUCAAUUCUUUCCACAGGAACCUGCAGAUCAAAAUUCUUUGUUUAAAGAGUUGAAUGAGGCUAUUGCAGCACUGAGCAAAAUGUCUGGAUCCCAUUAUCAAGAAAUAAAUGAUUUUGGUUUUCAACAACAAGAGUCCUUGGAUCAUAUUAAACAUCAUGAAAAUUUGCAACAAAAUGUAAUGCCUCUGUCUCCAAUAAAAGGAUGCUCAACAAACAAUGCUAUACAAAAUAGAAUUUCUGAAAUGGCUAGUGAUCAAUCUAUAUCAGAAGCAGAUCGUUUUAGAGAAGGACCAGUUCAUGUAGAAGUCAAAGAUCUGGAGAUGAAGAAAGCUAACUUUUCUAAAUUCAGAAAGGAAGUCAUAACUAUAGAGCCUACACUGAGAGAAAGGUUUGCUUCCAUGAUUCAGCCUUUUGUUUAUUCAGAUUUGGCAAUACAGGUCAGUGACUACAAGAAAAGCCCAACAGAAAGUGGGACUCUAGUUUUAGAAGAGAUAACUCAACCUGGACAUAAGAAGAAAGUUUUAAAAUAUAAUGAUACCAUUCAGGUCCCACAGCUAUUCACUGAUGAAGAUGUGGCAAACCAGUAUGCAAAAAUGAAAAUUCUAAAUAGAAAUGUAUCACAGACUCAACUUCCUCUACUGAAAGAUGUGCCAUCAGAGUAUUUUCUGUCCAAUGAGGCUCUGCACAAAUUACAUACAGGGCAUAAUCCAAGCAGUCAAUUACAGAAUAUGUUUGGACCAGGAAUGCACACAUAACUUUCUGAAAGGCUAGAGAUGUACUCAUUAGAAGAUAGGAGAGAAGGAUGGAUUGGUCCAUCUGAAUGUAAGAAGAAUCAAGAGGUUUCAAAAUGAUUCUUUUGAAGCAAAGGUGACUGCAACUAUAGGUAUGGAUCACGUACUUGAAAAUCAUGCAAUAAAUGUAUAGGUUUUUCUUUUUGAAAAGUCUUUUAGUUUAGUUUUAGUGGUUUAUUUGUUUCUUUGAUUUUGCUUUGACUUAGGCCUCUGUUAAUAGGACUAUCAGAUUUGAGUUGCAGAAAUCCAGAUGAACAGUAAAUGACAGCAAGUGUCAUUUUAAUGUAAUAUUAUAUUAAUAUCAGCAAUAAUAAUAGUUGUUUUUAUUGUUGUUCAAAUAUAACCCAAGAGGAUACAAAUAACUAUUGGAAUAUAGAAUAGUUGGAACUAUUCUAUAACAAAGCAGGAUUUUUAAAAAAGAAAAGAUACAAAUUUUAAAGAAAAGAUACAAAUUAGCUAUACGGAGCUAAACAACUCCUUGAAUAUCUUGAAGGAAAACAGAUUUGGGGGGAUUUUUUUAAAAAAACGGGCUCAGGUUGUACUUACAAAGAGGCAACUUUUUGAGUUGGAAGCCUUUGGUAUGUACUGAAUAUUGCCAACUACUAAUGCUGGCUCUAUUUCCACCUCUUCCUACUGGCUCUGUCAGGGUGCCUUUUGGAGAUAACUAGCUUUACGUAUACUGGAGGUAUGUUCUAACCAGUGUAGCCUUUUACAGUGUGCUGUAUAAAUAAUGCAGAGACAAUGUGACAAAUUCCUUUUCUCCCGGUACUUGUGUUACUUAAGUUGGGCUUCUGAUCAAUAAUGGAAAGCAUUACUUUUUCUACUGUAUGUCUAAUGUUAUUCCUUCCUGGUUUGAUAAUGGGACUGCACAACCAUACUCUUAGCUGAACUAUAUACCCUUUUAAAGGAAAACAUAGACAGGAUAUGUAUCUUCUCCACAUUACCUCAUUUCUCCUGAUGGGAUUUUGCAUAACCUUCCUUUUUUCCCUCUUUUUUAUUGGUAUAGUUAACAUGAAAGAAUAUCCAAAGUCAUUCUCUGCCUGCAAAUGGCAAUGCUAGGUAAAAAACCUUGCUUUUAUUAAUGCCUGCAAAAUGACUGAUCUUCAAUAUUCUACUCUUAUCUGUAAAAUUCCUGCUUGCAUUCCUUGUUUUCUUUUGUCUGAGCCAGCUUGAGGCGUGACUUGAAUUUUAUUGUAAAUGAUUGCAUUGUAUUCUGUAGGAAUGGACUAUCGGAUCAAAAACCUGUUUUUGGAUAGCAGAUGCUUUGCUUUACGUCUGUGGGACACAGCUGGGCAAGAAAGGUAGUAUAAAGGCUGCAAAAAUAAGGACAAAAUAUCGGGGAACUGACUUUGGACUAUGCUCAAGACUGGUGUGAUUAAUGUUGAUGAACAAUGUUUGUUCCCAGAACUGCAUGGCUUUAUAACUGCAUAUUCUGUUAUUGAAGGGAAAGUCCCAUCGGCAUAUCAUUCAUGCAACCAUUCACGUCAUUUCAGCCACUGAGUGCAAUUGCUUAAUCAGAUUGUAGCACCUCUGACAAAGGCUGUCUAACCUUUACAUGAACAUGUCAUUAAAACAUAUUUGUUUUCCUGGGUAAUUAGUUCCAAUAUUGAACUAUCAUUACCUUUUGAAGAUUAUGCUAACAUUGUAUCUAGUGGUGGGAUUCAGCCAGUUUGCACCAGUUCGGCAGAACUGGUAGCUCAUUUUUUGUCGCCCAGGCCCAGAAUGGACUUCCAGAAGCAACAUCCACACAGGAAACCGGUUGUUCACAUAUUUGAAUCCCACCAUUGAUUGUAUCUCACCAGUCUUUCAGUAAUUUAAAGUCAUUAUUCUACAUCUUUUAUUGUGAGAUAGAGGUUGAAAAGUGCAAUGAUAACUCCCUUAUCUCAAGGAUAAAUGUACCCACUCCUCAGUCCCUUUUUGCAGCUAGUCCUCUGCUUAAGGACUGCUUGUUUAACAAUGGUGCACAUGAUCUUGGAUAAACUGACUAACAAUCCGUCCUUGAAGUAACAACCAUUACACCACCCUUGCGGUCCACACAACCUCAGUUCGGGUGCUUGGCAACUGGCAUGCAUUUAUAACAUUUGUCUUGUGGUCACAGCAUUGUGAUUUGCAAAUUUCUCAGCUGGUUUCCAAUAAGCAAAGUCAGUUCACUUAACGACUGGGUGAUUGACUUAAUGACUACAUGAUUUGGUUAACAACCACAGUGAUUCGCUUAAUGACCACAGUAAAAAUGGUUAUAAAAUUGGAUCUAGUCGUGUGAUGAUUUGAUUAACAACCAAAAUUUCAGUCUCCAUUGUCAUAAAUUGAGGACUACCUAUAUAGGUUUCAAGGGCUUGAUCAUCCUUGUACUCUUAUUUGUCACUAUUUUGCUUUUUAAGAAUCUUUGUUAAAGUGGGGUCUCCAGGAAAUUGUUACGCACAAUACUUAUGAGCAUUUACUGAUCAGAUGCCCUUCCUGAUGCCACAUAGAGUUCUCAGCAGAUAUUUUUUUCUUCGCGCCCUAGGAGAGAAAUAUCUGCCUCUACCUAGGAUUGAACUCUCAACCUUCCGAAUGGGAGGUGAGCAUCUUUACCCCCAGGCCACCACGCUGCUCUAUUUCUAACAAUAAUAACAUAUUAAAUAUAUUAAACAACAUAUGUAUGAUAAAUUUUAAGGUUUUUUAUCAUGCACAAUCAUGCACAUGAAUCAAUAUGUACAGUAUGAACACACAUAUUUGUGAAAAAUGACAUGUUUCCUGACAGAUAUCACAGUGUCACCAAGCAGUUUUUCCGAAAGGCUGAUGGAGUUGUUUUGAUGUAUGACAUCACCUCAGAAUACAGUUUUAUAGACGUGCGGUACUGGUUGAAUUGUGUCCAGGAAGGAGCUGGAGCUGGAGUCGUUGUCCUUCUG